UGGUCCUCCGACUCACAGCUCAGAGACUUUUUAAUUCAGGAUAAAUGGAGUUAUCCCUGAGUUAGCCUGCCUGAGAACAGGCUAGUUCUGAAGGAUUCAUUGCCAUUGGAAAACGUACCUACCUGGCUAAAAAGGUACCAGGAAUGGUGGGAGGGACAAUCUGAAAGUAUUUAUCUUUGCACACAAGAGCAGCGUCCAGGCCUCCAGAAUACUCCCUCUAUCACCUGCUGUACGGACGGGAGCCGCAACUGUUUACUGAGUUGUCGAACAAGAUCAGAAUGCCUUCGAGGACCACCUUCAAGCAGGGACUGAGGAGGUUUUUGACCAGGUGAGACUGAACAUGAACAAGGCGCAGGAGAAACAGAAUGAGAACCACCGGAGGAGAAUCAAGGGGACCAGGUGCUUUGAACAUCUAAUAACUUGGAAGAAGGACAAAAGGAAGGCGAAAACCUUGGUGCUCUUUCUCUCUUAGCUGGGGUCACCAUCCAUUAAGGGACCAUCCCUUACCUCCCUCAUCAACCCCACUGACAGGUUUCCUUUCUUUUCUGUCCGCCAUUAUUGCAUGUCUUAUCAAACAUUUUUCAAAUGAAAUCAUUCAGUAACUGUAUUUUUUUUUUUACCUGAUAAACCUGUAACCUGUGUGUUUGUUUGUUUACGUCUCUGUCUCCUACCCUGGUUCCCUUUAACUCUGCUCCCGUUCUCCAGGACCUAGUGGUUCGGCUCAACACACAGACAUGGAUCCACCUGAUGUCCUCCAUUUCCUGUUCUCCAGGACCUAGUGGUUCUGCCCAACACCCAGACAUGGAUCCACCUGAUGUCCUCCAUUUCCUGUUCUCCAGGACCUAGGGGUUCUGCCCAACAUCCAGACCCACCUGAUGUCCUCCAUUUCCUGUUCUCCAGGACCUAGUGGUUCUGCCCAACAUCCAGACCCACCUGAUGUCCUCCAUUUCCUGUUCUCCAGGACCUAGGGUUUCUGCCCAACACCCAGACGUGGAUCCACCCGAUGUCCUCCAUUAUCAACCACCCACCAAUUUUUCAUUACAUCAGCUACUGUUAUUGUCAUGUUGUCAUUAUCUGCUAAGAAAGAGCAAGACAACUAUCAUACUGGGCACAUAAUGUGUGAUCCACAGAUGAACUAAAAACACCUGCACUGCAAAGACUGACUGCCUGUUGAAAACCAAGUGAAAAGUCGAACCUCCCAUCCACACAGCACCCACCUCCUCUCUAUUCCACACACCAGAAUUCAGUAUCUCAGUCUAUGAUGCUAUGUGAGCGUACAAACGAAUCAAAGUAAAUUGACACACAUGUACCAACAACAACAAAAAUAUCAACGUUUAUACAUUUAAAUCUAAAAUAUUUUCUCCAUAUUUUCUCCAUAUUACCGAGUGAAGGAAUAAAUUCCUUGUAAAAUGGUAAA